CUCUCGGGGCUUCCCUGUCGCGUCGGCUGCCGGGGGUGUUCUCCCGCCCUCCGCCGCUCCGCCUACGUCCAGACUCCGCCCGGUAGCUUGAGUUGGGCAAUCUGUAGCCGAGGAAGCGCUACGUGGAGACCGGACUAAGUGGAUGCAGAGCCCUGGAGCUGGGCAACUAGAGGGCGGAUCUUGAAUGGGAUGCUGCACAUUCCUCAUGAGAAACCUGAAGUGGCACUAAAAAGACAGCCGCGGUUUUCCUACUGCCUGCUGCCAAGUUUCUUGAGGGCCCAGCUGUUAAGGGGCUGUGGUUGAGUUUUUCAGCAGGAGCAAGUUACAUAACACCACACCCUUGUCCACAGAGGCUCUGAUGUGGUGAGUACUGUAUCUUUGAUUUAUCCUCACUUCAUUUUGUAUGGUUAUAGUCAUGUUUUGAAAGGCUCAUUGCAGGCUCAAAUGCCUGGAAGUGUGAUGUCUUGGUGACUUACUUUUUCUAAGGUAAAUCCAGCCGCCUUAACAGAGCACAAGCAAAACUGGUCCCUGGAAAAAUUGUUAUCUUAUCAAUUAAGGCAGAAAGGCCCCUACAAUUUUAUGAAC
rnacentral:lncRNA from 1 species